rnacentral:lncRNA from 11 species
UCGAGGAGUCGAAGAGUAGAGUUAUUAGAGUUAGUGUUGUCGCGUUGCGUUGUUGAGAGUAGAGUUGUUAGCGUUGCGGAGUUGCCCACAUCAAGAGAAUGAAAAGUUACGAUUAAAGACCUAAUUUUAAAUUACUUCAUUUUACUUCACUGUUAGAUUUUUAAUAAGCUAACAAAAUGCUAAUUUUAUAAAAAUUCAUUACCUCCAAGUUUUUUUCAAUUUGACUAUCAACUUUUGAAAUAAUCCAAUACAUACACAAGCUUAUGAAAGCAUUUCAAUAAAGCCGGUAUGUUGAGCACGUGACAAGAAUGGCGAUAGUGAUGUUUACACUGAUAAUUCGCAUGAUUGCAAACUAGCGGUACUUUCCUGUACGAGUGUUGAGUAUGAAAUAUGAAUAUUUUCAUGAUACUUGUGAAUACUUUCACGAUGAGACGAUAGGGAAACGAUAUUUCAAAAGAAGAACUACAAAAGGGCGAAAAACCGGUCACUGCAAGGAUAUGCAAGGACGAAAAGUCGAUCGGACAGAAAUGUAUCGAUAGAUGAGCGAUCAAUAAUCAAUAAUUUGCGAAAAUUAGCGUAGGCGCUGUAUAACGCUUACAUUUGUAAUACAUGCAUGUUAGACGAAGUUGUCAUUACCGGCAGGGUUGUGAAGGCAUCCUGCCUUCUUUUUUUUAUAAUUUACACGCGAUUUCGGGACAUGAAUAUAAAAGUUUUCUAUAAGUUUUUAGUUUUCGAUAAACAAGGCAACAAAUAAAAUGUUUUGAUACAGGAAAGCAGCCUUAUGUCGCGCGAACAUCGGAUCCAACAACCAAUUCCAACCGAAAUCCGCGUUCCCGCGGAUUCAUCUGCGACCCAAGGGAGAGAUUGAAUGCUGCAUUUGUCAAAAGAGUGCGCGACCCUAUCGCGUGGCAGGAACAAUAGUGAUUGAUCCUUCGUGUUAUUGUGUAAAACAAAACGAAAAAGGAACAACAAGAAGCACACAAUACUAUAAUGGGCACAAUUCAUCGUGGCACGAAGGAACACGCCUCAUUGCCCGGGUGCACGAAUCGUUAAUCCGCCGACUUCAAAAGAGUUAGCAAUUAAACAUAUAACGAACCUAAUCGUGACAGAACGUUGUUUACGUUUGUGCAUUGUUUAAUUACAAUAAUCUCCCAUGGGCUUAUACGAAUGACGAAUAAU